rnacentral:lncRNA from 1 species
UUGAACUGAAAUCCCAUCGAGUGGUGUAAGGAGGUCCACUAGUCUUAAUUAUAGGAUGCCCCACAGCCAGGCUGAUGGGAACUAGACCUGCUAAUAUGCUACCAGUGAGGCAUAAGCAGCAUUACAGUGACUUGUGACACAGUGCGAUGUCUCGUAGCUAAAUAUUCAUGUGCAAUAUGUCCUCCCUUGAGUGAAAGCAAAGCCUUGGAGAACGAGGUAUUAAAUGCCAGUGUCUCAUGUUUGUUUCCUGGGAAAUUACCCAUUUCUCAGUUAAGCAAAAGUGUGACUGAACAUAAAUUAUUAAAAUGGGGACGGUCACAGAUUUUACCUCUCCUCCAUCCCAUCAAUAGCAAUCCUAAGUUUUCUAAGUCAAUUUCCCUCCCUCCUUUCUUCCCCUAAAAUGGAAAUAUUCUCUCUUAGUGCAGUUGGUAAUGAGAGGAUUUACAGGA